AGACACAACACAGAUCACUGCACAACCAUAUGUGCAAGUGAAAAGUUGCAACUCUUAUGAUUGUCUUUGAGUGUACUUCGUUAACACGUUGACGUUGUUAGUUACAUGAUGAAGAAACAAAUAUUUUUGUGUUGCUUGAAGAGCUGGUGUUUCAGCAGAUGCUACAUGAUAAGUACGAGUACUGCCGCCAUAAAGAGUUCCGACGCAGCAAACAUCUCGCAUGUUUGAUUCGGUGUAGCAGUAGACCACACCCUUGUUUAAUGGAUGCUGGUAUUGCAUAGAUGUUCGUGCGGAGAUGGAAAUCUAAAUAAGAGAGAUUUGUUUCCUACUGAUGUUGAAGAAUGUAGUUCAUGGUUUCCCAAAGCUUUCCCAGUAACAGCUAAUUUAUUAUAGUUACAAUCAGCGUGGCUCUCAACCCAGUGAGUAGUGCUGAACGAGAGGGAAGCUUAAAUCAGAUGGAUUUGUUUCACGCUGAUGCUAAAGGCAGAAGUUCCUUGUUUCCAGAUGAUCGUCCCAAUGAGUUAAAAUAUUAAUACUUGGAACCAUCAAUAAGAUGUCUGUACAUUUUGGUGUUAAUAGAUUAAAAAGAGUAUUUCCUUAUAAAGUU